UCCUUGGUGGUCCAGUGGCUAAGAUUUCAACCUCUCAAUGCAUGGAUCCAGGUUCGAUUCCUGGUCAGGGAA
rnacentral:tRNA from 1 species